rnacentral:rRNA from 1 species
UUGACCUCGGAUCAGGUAGGAAUACCCGCUGAACUUAAGCAUAUCAAUAAGCGGAGGAAAAGAAACCAACAGGGAUUGCCCUAGUAACGGCGAGUGAAGCGGCAACAGCUCAAAUUUGAAAUCUGGCCCUAGGCCCGAGUUGUAAUUUGCAGAGGAUGCUUCGGGCGCGGCGCCUUCCAAGUCCCCUGGAACGGGGCGCCAGAGAGGGUGAGAGCCCCGUACUGUCGGACGCCAAGCCUGUGUGAAGCUCCUUCGACGAGUCGAGUAGUUUGGGAAUGCUGCUCAAAAUGGGAGGUAGACCCCUUCUAAAGCUAAAUACCGGCCAGAGACCGAUAGCGCACAAGUAGAGUGAUCGAAAGAUGAAAAGCACUUUGAAAAGAGGGUUAAAUAGCACGUGAAAUUGUUGAAAGGGAAGCGCUUGUGACCAGACUUGCACUGGGGCGAUCAUCUGGCGUUCUCGCCAGUGCACUCGCCCCAGUUCAGGCCAGGGUCGGUUCGCGCGGGGGGAUAAAGACAUUGGGAACGUGGCUCCCCCGGGAGUGUUAUAGCCCAGUGUGUCAUGCCCUCGCGUGGACCGAGGUUCGCGCUCUGCAAGGACGCUGGCGUAAUGGUUACUAGCGACCCGUCUUGAAACACGGACC